GGGCCGGUAGCUCAACGGUAGAGCAAGUGACUCUUAAUCACUAGGUUCAGGGUUCGAAUCCCUGCCGGCUCA
rnacentral:tRNA from 1 species